CGAUAUCUCAACUGUUGGUUUUAGUUCCGCUACCACAACAGUCCCAAACAAAAAGAGUAGUACAAGUCCUCUCAUCUUGAAAAUGAAUUGGCCUCCUGUUUGCUCCCACGUCUGCUUUGUAGUAUCUUUGUCAGGAGGUGGAGUUUGAGGUCCGUGUGUCAUUGUAGAUUGAUAUCAAAGUCCAAGCCAAACAUGUAUGUAAACCAGAGGAAGGUCUCCCCUUAAGAACUAUGUUGAUUCUCCUUUAAAGAACUGUAUAAAACUAUUUCAGAGCUAUUUGGCUGGUAGAAGUUAAACGUUAACAAUGCUGUAGUAAUGCUGAAGUAGCGGGUUAGGGAUACUAUGUUAAACUUAGUCAAAAGAUUUAUUUUAAAUGAAGAUCAUUUUGUCAUU